rnacentral:lncRNA from 1 species
UUAGGGCAAACUUCAAAUAUCAUCAUGUGGUUUUGCACGUUCUUACUUUAGUACCAUAUAAUUUAAAAUAUAUCAAAUUAAUAUUCUGUGAUUUUAUUUUUAUCUUUUCGUCAGCUUUUUCGUUAAUAUUUUUUUAAAUUAUAUACAAAAAAUUUUAGAUACCUCAUCUAGAUUUAUCAAAUAUCUACUUUAGUACCCUUUAAAAAACUUUGUCACUGAUUUAAUAAAAAAAAUUAGUGGAAUCAAUAAUAAAAUGAUAAAAAUAAAACCACAGUGUACUAAAUUGAUACAUUUUAUACUACAGGAUAUUAAAGUAAAAAAAUAUGAAAUCACAUGAAUGAUAUUUAAAGUUUUUCCUACAUAUUAUAAUUUAGGGGAAAUUCACAUACCCCUUUUUAUUAAUUAUUUAUAGCUAUUUUACUUUAGUAUUCAUUUGUUUAAACUGUAUCAAUUAAAUAUUUUAUAAUUUUUAUAUUAUAUUUUAUUAUACUUUUUUGUUAACUUUUUUACUAAAACCGUCUCCAAU